UUAUCCAAAUUGAGCGCUAAACAAGCGGCAAGGUGUACCGCGGUCAUUGAUUUCCCCGUA
rnacentral:sRNA from 1 species